rnacentral:rRNA from 1 species
GACGAACGCUGGCGGCGUGCCUAAUACAUGCAAGUCGAGCGAACUUGCGGGAGCUUGCUCCCAAAAGUUAGCGGCGGACGGGUGAGUAACACGUGGGCAACCUGCCUGUAAGACUGGGAUAACUUCGGGAAACCGGAGCUAAUACCGGAUAAUUCUUUUCUGCUCAUGCAGAAAAGCUGAAAGAUGGUUUCGGCUAUCACUUACAGAUGGGCCCGCGGCGCAUUAGCUAGUUGGUGAGGUAACGGCUCACCAAGGCAACGAUGCGUAGCCGACCUGAGAGGGUGAUCGGCCACACUGGGAAUGAGACACGGCCCAGACUCCUACGGGAGGCAGCAGUAGGGAAUCUUCCGCAAUGGACGAAAGUCUGACGGAGCAACGCCGCGUGAGUGAUGAAGGUUUUCGGAUCGUAAAACUCUGUUGUUAGGGAAGAACAAGUACCGGAGUAACUGCCGGUACCUUGACGGUACCUAACCAGAAAGCCACGGCUAACUACGUGC